rnacentral:lncRNA from 1 species
AACUACAAGAUGGACGCAACGCUAACCUCUCCGCAGGAAAAGUUUUGUUCGCUAAGGAAGCACCUGGUUUGAUUCAAAAGCAGCGGCAGAGGAUGAGAAGACGUACUUGUAUUUUUUUAAGUGAAGAAAAUAAAAGCAUUUGGUGUUUAUUUACGAUGCACAUGCAAAAAUUGGCAGGCUGUUUGCAGAACAAAGGAUGUCCCCAAUUUCUGGAUGGAGAUAUAGUUUGGACGGGAGAGAAAACGGUUGCAGAGUACGUAUCGACACGUCGAUCAAAGGAGCACGAAAGAGUGACGGAAAGCAAAAUCCUCGGCGAUGCCCGACGUGGCCGGAAUGUGGGAUGUAGAAAAAGUGGUGACGUCCCUUUCCCCCGCUUUGGCGGUACCGAUAGCAACAGCACGAGGAUAUCGCGGAGCUUGCGUUCCUGCGGGAUCAGGAAAGAGGACGACUCUUGGCCAGCACCUGUAGCACGUAACCGUGUGUCCAUCUGUCCACCCGUACCAUCGGUGGGAAGGCAAGGCCUGACUUCUUGCAGCGCAAUCAAUCGAGCCGCCGCCGUUGCCAGUUUCUAUUCCUCUUUUCGUUCCCAUCUUCUCUUCAACUUCAUCUUUUCCGCUCACCACCUUCGAUACCCUUCUGCUAUCUGCUAUCUAGGUGCAGCACAGGGACAGAGGAAAAAAGAGAACGAGAACCUUGAACCAAUCGUAAAUGGCGUGGAGUGAAAGCGGUCGGUCUCCGCGGUUUUCCCAGAAGAGCGCGAGCCACGAAAUUAUCGACCUGUAAAUCGGAACGAAGGAUCUCGUUUCUUACUUACCAACGUGGGUAUGAGCCCGCUCUCUGUGCCAGAAGAAAAAGGAAAUAUAAAAGAAAGAACGAAGAUUGAACGUACACGUUGGUCCCGAGACGAAAAUCGUGAAUCCGGUGCGUGCUACGAACGACGAUUCAGACGUUACAAUUUGCUCCUCGCCGCGAACAGCUUUCUGCCACGUCAAUCCUCGCAUGUCGAAACGUGGCUCGGUGUUCCCUACGAUUGAUUUACAUCAUCCAUUUGACGGAUUACGAAUAACGAUGUUUAGAUGUUUCAGAAAAUGACUGGCGAGCCGGGUUUGAAGAUUUCUAUCGAGAACAUUAUUGCACAACGCAACCGAGUGAUUGAUGGAGAGCGUGCACUAUUUUCUGACAUGGUUUCGAUGAAAAAAAGUGUCAUUUAUUUCCCCCAGUGAUAACUCUGGGAAUCCUUCCACUUGGAUUAAUGACUAACCAUUAUCGUGCAGACUGUGUAUCAUUUCUUACACUUUAAUUGCGAGUAACUGGGAAAUAAAGCGGUAGCUUCGCCCACGAAAAACCAGAGAGAAACAGAGAGAUUUAUUCUAUGCUAUUAUAGUAAUGAAAAAACGAGAAAAGGAGCUGCAAUAGACGAGAAAGCGUCGUGGGGUCACACCUUACCCGAUCGAAAAGGAAGAUGAGAUUGAACGGUGACACUCGACGGACAAUACCCCGUGACUCGAUUACACACGAGUACCGUUAAUCAUCCUAAUAGCGUGCGCAUAAUGUCAGAUACGAUCUGCGUUCGCUUGCUACGGUAGAUUCGUGAUGCCACGCUCCUCCAACGAUCGUUCGGCCCACGUGCGACUCGGCGUCGCACAGGAUGAGUCGAAUAGAAAAUGAAAUCAUGCUCCGCCGCUUAGAAAUACGGCUUUAAGAUCGUGAAUGGGCGUACGGAGACAAUCGGAGACGCUAGGCGCCUGAAUUCCGAUUGGACGUUGCCUUCUAAUUGAGUCAUCGUGUCAUUAGCGUUAUAAUAAUCGCGGCUCGUAACGAAACGAUCUCUCUUUGUUGACUGUACGCUGGCCUGGAACGCCACCGCCGGGAAAACACAGAGAUCCACCCGAAGAUCGUACGUAGAUCGAUGGCCAAUUAAGCUCAAUUACCGACACGGAUAAUCGGCCACCGUCGGUGAAAGAAUGAUUAUUCCGCGAAUGAUCGGUUAGGAUAUCGACCUUGGCUGAUUUUGCAAGAUCGAUUGCAACGAUAAAAUAGACAGAGGAAGGAAUUCUUGACCAAGUAGGAAGAAUGAUUGGAUGGAGAAAGGAGUUUACGAGGGAGGAAAGAGAAUUUCUUAAAUUGAAUUUGCGAUUACAUUUGAAGAUAUAUUGAAAUAAUAUUGCUAGAUUUUAUAGCUAUAACGUAUUUGUCUAAUGCAUUGCACAAGAUAGGAAUUAUUCUUCAACGAAUAUGAAAAAUGAUUGAAGAAAGAAGAUCGAAAGGAAGGAUAGUUUGCUGAAUUGAAUAUCCUUGAACGAAUAUGAAAACCGAUUGGACGAAGAAAGAAGUUCGAAAGAAAGGUAGAAUAGUUUCCUGAACUAAAUUCGCGAUCAUAUUUAGAGGUAUUAAAAUAGAAUUGGUAUACUAUAUCGUAUGUAUUCGUCGAGCCGCCUAUUUCACUGGAAUCCGAACAAAGAGGGCCUCGCAUUUUCGGAACGAGUUACCGGAACAUCGCGUGCUACCGAAAUAUUCUGGAAAUAUGCUAAUUACCAGUUAGUCAGUCAGUUUCUUGUGGCAUUGCGCCCGUUUCUACGAUCGCUAUUGCCUCCUUUCCACGCGGUUCACCUUGUCGAGACGUUUCGUCCCUUCUUCCCUGACUCUUUGUCCCGGUUUUCAGGAUUGUUCUUGUCCUUUGUCCGCCGCGUUCGAUUGUCCCUUCAACGAACAUGCGACAAUUUGACGCCGUUUAUCUUUCAUUCUUUUCCGUUCGAACGGAAGGUUUGGCUUCUUUUUUUAUGGGGAGUUUUAAAGUCAUAAAUAUGGGUCAAAGAAAAAUUGCACCUGUGUCCAAGUGGGUUCUUGGGAACUUCAUGCCGACCCUUGAAUUUUUUUAAGUUACGUAAAGGAAUACUUUACCUCUGUGAACUCUUUCUUAAUAAUCACGAACAUUUGUCUUGAACUUUUUUGACAGAUAUUACGUGACAGACGAGUGAUUUAUUUAAAGAUUUUUGAACUAGAAGCGAAUCGAUUGAACCUUCUCUGUAAUUCUACCGUUACUGUCUGACGAAGUCCUAUUCUACUUCGUACAACUUCAAUCCUCCAUAGCCAUACAUUUUACAGACUCUUUAGACAAAGUGGGUCGUUUAUAUUCCAAUGUAAAUCUUCUGCUGUUCUCGAUUUUCAAAAAAACGUACGAAACUUCUGGAAUACUUAUCAGUGUCUCUAUUCUAUUAUUAUACAACGCUACGUUCAAGCAAAUAUUUGAAACCUUUUUUUAAUAAAAAUGAAAAAUCUUUUCUCGAAGAAAUUGAAUUGUUCGCGAUGGAUUGAAUAUGUAAGCGUACGACUCUCAUAGAACCGGCAGGGUUAAUGAAACUUAAUUUUCUAUUAUCGUGGCAGGCAAAAUGUUAAUUUCUAGUAUUAUGCGCUAUAUUUUUCUUCUUAUCAGAAAUUGAAAGAUUUACGAAGAGCUAAAUAUUGUGUGUAGCUACACAACUUUCGUAGAAACAAGAGGGUGAAUAAUGGAAUACAAGUUUUUAAUGCCAUCGAAGGCAAGGUGCUAAUUUGUAAUUAUCGUAUACUAUGUUUUCCUUUUCAUAAUCGAGCUUUUGACUCGUUUUUCAUUGGCAGGGAUCGUUGUCAUUGAGAAAGCCCGGCCAACAUCUCGCCAAUGUGCUUUCUUGCCUCUCUGUUGUGUGCAGUACAAGCGUGCAUACUUUCUGUCUUCACUCCCAUUAAUUAACCACACUGUGUACGCGGUUGUUCUCCUGUUUCGAGAAUGAGGAGCGACCCCUGCGCUGUAUCGCCGGCCUACAACAUCCGCCCUGAAUUAAUUGAAUAUACGGCUCGCGUUUACACGCGAUACGGAGCCAGUCUUUGUGUGUUGACUAAUACGGGGCUUUGGUACGUUGGGGAAAAUUAAAAAUUCAUCGGAAAUCGCGCGUAGGACGGCCUACCUCAUUCCCGCGAAACCGUAGGGUUUCGUGUGAUUUGAGACCCGAGCCGUGGCACCCACACGUCCAGUCUUCCCGCGAAUUCGUUCAGAAAAAACAACAACCUUCUUGGAAACGUGUAUCAUGCGAAUAUUAACAAAUAGAA